rnacentral:lncRNA from 1 species
GUCUAUGUCUCACAUCAGUAUAGUUGGUCCUCUUCAUCCAAACGACAUGUCUUAUAACACAUUGCAACUGCCACAUAGAAAGAGACUAGAGCUAUCACUUGCCUAGCUUUUAAUACCUAGAACAAAUUAAAUAGGGCCAAAAGCCCAUUGCCUUCAACUUUACAUCCUAUGUUUUACAAUCUUUAUAACACUGCUACCACCCAACGUUCAAAUCCUUACCCAUUCAUUAAUUACAGCUAAAACUUCACUUCAAUAAACACACCCAAGAUCCUAGAGUUAACAACAA